rnacentral:rRNA from 1 species
AGUGAACGCUGGCGGUAGGCCUAACACAUGCAAGUCGAACGGCAGCACAGUAAGAGCUUGCUCUUACGGGUGGCGAGUGGCGGACGGGUGAGGAAUACAUCGGAAUCUACUUUUUCGUGGGGGAUAACGUAGGGAAACUUACGCUAAUACCGCAUACGACCUACGGGUGAAAGCAGGGGAUCUUCGGACCUUGCGCGAUUGAAUGAGCCGAUGUCGGAUUAGCUAGUUGGCGGGGUAAAGGCCCACCAAGGCGACGAUCCGUAGCUGGUCUGAGAGGAUGAUCAGACACACUGGAACUGAGACACGGUCCAGACUCCUACGGGAGGAAGCAGUGGGGAAUAUUGGACAAUGGGGGCAAGCCUGAUCCAGCCAUACCGCGUGGGUGAAGAAGGCCUUCGGGUUGUAAAGCCCUUUUGUUGGGAAAGAAAAGCAGCAGGUUAAUACCCCGCUGUUCUGACGGUACCCAAAGAAUAAGCACCGGCUAACUUCGUG